UUUAUUAGAUAGAAGCCAGUUCAUGCUUUUAUAGUAUGAAAAUUGGUGAUUUAUAAUAACUUAGCAAAUCGCAAAGUGAAAACAGGCGAUAAAUCAUUCAAGUUUCUGACCUAUCAGCUUUCGACGGUAUGGUAUUGGCUUACCGUGGCAGUGACGGUUAACGGGGGAUUAGGGUUCGAUUCCGGAGAGGGAGCCUGAGAAACGGCUACCACAUCUAAGGAAGGCAGCAGGCGCGCAAAUUACCCAAUUCUAACAGUUUGAGAGAGGUAGUAACAAGAAAUAACAAUACAAGGCAGUUAAAAUGCUUUGUAAUUGGAAUGAUAGAAAUUUAAACCCUUUUUAAAGUAUCAAUUGGAGGGCAAGUCUGGUGCCAGCAGCCGCGGUAAUUCCAGCUCCAAUAGCGUAUAUUAAAAUUGUUGCAGUUAAAAAGCUCGUAGUUGAAGUUCUGCUGAAAGUAACCGGUCUGCUUUUAAUAAAAGUGGUAUCUUGGUAUGUAUUUAGCAAUGAUGUCCUUUGAAGUGUUUUUUACUUUAUUGUAAUAAAGCAUAUUCAGGACUUUUACUUUGAGAAAAUUAGGAG
rnacentral:rRNA from 1 species